AGCUCAGGUGCCAACCUUUAAAAAAAAAAACACAGAAGAAAUAGAGCUAAACCUACCAGCCCAUCACUGGGAAUCUGGAGCUGGGAUCUGCUGACCCGCAGCAACAGUACCGGUCCUCUGCCGCGUCCCAGACCAGCUCCUUCCACUAAGAAGCCUGGGGGAGUUCCUGAAGGGGGCACAGGCCUCUGUGCUGUGGGAAAAGCCCACCUUGCCUCUUUUCUAGGCUACCUGGCCUGGGGGCAAAUGCAGACAGGAGAACUCUUCUUCUUGUGGAAGGGGGAAGCGAGGUGGCCGCUCUUGCCUAGCACGGGAGAGGUGGGGACAGCGCCCCCAGUGUCACCCAGAGCCCAUUCCAGAGCAGCUGCUGCAGCUACAGUGGCUGUGAUGCAUUUGUAACCAGCAGCAGGGGCAGGGAGCAGGUGAGAAGGCAUCAGGAACAGGUACCUACAUGACUGUAGGAGAAAGGCAGUAUCAAAGAUGAGCAGCAGAGGAGGCCCCAGCGAAUGCACUGGCAUCCCCCCAAGGCCAGGUCACAAGGCCUCAGGCCACGACUCACGAGCACUGGUGAAGGCAGCAGUGAGGAUGGUUGUAAGACCCCAUGCCUUGCCAAAGACAGAAAGGGAGCGGGAAGAGGCCAGCAGUGGUGCUGGUCUGAGUAGGGCACAUCCACCUCUGGGCUCCAUUGUCACAUCACCAGAUUAUCCUUUCCUUGUAGAAAAGAAUAGGAUAGGGUGGGGAUCAUUGUUAUAAACCCACAGUCAGUGCCACACAUCAAUGUUCACGUGUCAGCUGAGCAAUGGGCUAGACUGUAAAUUCUUUAAAGGUAGAGAUCAUGUCAUAUGACUCCUCCACAUACCCCACAACAGUUAGCACAGAGCUGGGUUCAUAAGUUUUUAAUAACAUCUGUUGGAUCAUAUUCUUUUGGGCCCAGUGAAAAUAGUGCCAUGAAUGGAUUUAAUAGCCCAUUACCCCCUCCCACGCACAAACCCAUCUUUUUUUCUUUUCAAAAAACAUAAAGUGCUUUCAAUCGUAUGACUUAAUUUCUUUUCCUAAAAUAUCUAUACAGUAAGGAGACAAGUAUGAUUCACCCCAUUCUACAGAUAGGAUAAUUGAGACCUACCACUUUGGAUCAACUUGCCCUAAACGGCAUAGACUCAACACUGAAACAGGUCUCCUGGCUCCCCAUGAACCAUACCCCAAUGCUGUGUGCUCCUUGCCCUCCUCCCUGUCCCCAUCAUUGGCACCACUGAGGUGUCCCUCAACACAUCAUUACUUUUGUUCUUAACAAUGCAAAACAUCAACAAAGGCCAACUUCUGACAUCAACAGGACCCAGCAGGUGCUAGAGCUGGAAUGGCCACCAGGUGUCUGUGAGCACUGCAUUGCCAGUCCCUGUGUUCACUGAAGAAAACUUAUGCAUCAGUUUGUAGUGUUUGCGGGAGAGGCAAAGACUGCUGAAGAGAUGAGUCUCUGGAGACAAGAAAGGACUUCAGGAGAGGAGUUUGGGAAAAACUUAUAAUCACAUCUUGGUGUUAAUGCAGCCUACGUCCUCAGGAAAUGCAUCCUCUGUGAGAGGAUAGGAGGCUGGAGCCAAGAGGUCCAGCGUUAUGAAGUGGCUGGUUACUUUGCUUUUAGAAGAUGGAUGAUGGCUAACGGAGAGGAAGGCUCAGGUAACGCGCCGUAGGAGGGCGAGCACCCACAGCCAAGAAGAGGAGGAAGAGGGCCCCUCCCCCCACUGCGUGACAAAGCUGGGGAAAUAAAUGCCCAAAGCCACAGGGUCUUUGGAGAGAGGACUGGGAAGUGUUCGAGGUUCAGAAACCCAGAACCUCUAGAACUGCUUAAGAACGGCUGAGGCUGGGCCUGAGAAACGGGGAAGCGACCGAAGCUUUAGGGACACGGGGCACUCGGCAGCAGGCGGCCGGCAGCAGGGACUCCAGGCGCCUCGCCCGGUGCCCUUGCCUCCCGUCGGCCUGCGGAACCAACCUGCCGCUGCCCCCGCCCCUCGGUUCACUCUCCUCGGCCAAACCGCGAGCGCCAGGGCCGGCUUUGAUUGGCCCUUCCAGACCCCGCCAGCCAAUCACCAGCCUGUUGCCAAGGCGGCGCUGCGGGGGCGGGGCUGCGCGGGGCCGGGCUCACCGGGCGGGCUGCGGUGAGUGGGGCCGGCCGAGGGCUCCUCCCCCCGCCCGUGUACGGAGCCCGGGAGCCCGCGCCCGCCCACCCGCCCCGCAGCGGCCGGGCUCCUGGGCCAGCGCGGCGAGGCCUCGGCUGUCCUUGCCGGAAGGUGAGACCGUCGUCCCCCAGGCACGUGGAGGACGGGAGACGUGCCUCCUCUGGAAGGUGCGGAAAACGAACGCCACUCACCCGUGCGGGGCCCACCAGACCAAGAAAUGAGGACGGGCCAACAAAGAUGCUGUCCUGCAGUGUGUGCGCCAGAGUGACCAAGUGACCACCUCAUGCCAGCCAUUCCUGGAUUUGAGCCUGACUCUGCCACUUACUCGCAGUGUGCCCAUAGAAGCCCCUGCUCUGCCAAAGAAGCCUUCUUCCUCCUUGGGCCUGUGACUGUUUACCUGCUCUCAGAAAAGCAGGUGUCAGGAGGCAGCUGCUGGUUGUGGUCUGUUCUCCCCAGAUACCAGAGCGCCUGGCCUCCUCCACACUGGUGGCCAUUGGCUAACAGGAAGCCAAAACAGAGUCAUGCUCGCCACCCUCAGCCACCUAGCUGGCGAACAAAGAGAGCACAGGAAACACCUGGAGGAGCAGGCAGCUGGCAAGGGGACGCUCUGCCCAAGAGAAGAAAGAGUUCCUGACAGGAGCUGGCCGAGAGGAACUGGGGGAGGGGCUCUGACACUUAAUUGCCCUUCUCUUGGCUCCCAGCAGCUGCUGAGAACUGACAGCUGAGUUGUUCAAAUGUGCCCUCACUCCCACCCCCACUGUAAAGGAAUCAGCCCCCUCUAGCACCAGCUUCCUAGAGCCAAAGCAAGAACACUCAUAAAGGAGGCUCUGCAGAGGGCUUUGCCUCUGCUCCUCUCCUUCCUUCCACGGCCUCCUCACCCCCAGCCAGAGAAUCUGAUCGUCUUUGGACCAUGUAAAUUUAAACCCGUGGUCCAGGCGUGAAGACAGAAUCCUUAACCAAUGUCUCGGCCUGUGUUAUGUGAAAGCGUAUUCCAAAGAUGCGUCUCCUUUAUUUCCAAACUUAUUUAUCUAGAUCUUCAUCCAUAUCCGCCCACUGACUGUUUAUGAUUCCAAGUAGCUGUGGUUCAGGAUGGAACAGACUUCACCAGGAUGAUCAAAUGAAGCCCUACCAUCAGCAUCCACCCAAGAGCAUGUCUGCUAGCGUGUAGACCGUGUGCUGGGAACUAUGUGUGUAUGCAGCGGGGUUCAGCUCACAGGGCUCCCUCACCCCUUCUUAGGAAACUCCCAAAUAAGGCACUUUCCCUCUUAUGUCUGGAGUGAGAGGGUUGGAGCGGGGCAGAGAGGAGAGGGCACUUAUCCCACAGCCACUUGUGAGCAUAUCACGGUUUACUCAACCCAUAUCUUUUCAUUCAGCAGCCAGUGCACUCAGGCAGUAUACCCAGACUGCCUGUGCCAAGUUGUGUUGACAGCACAUGGGAGAAUAAAAAGAAACAGAAGACAAUGGUUCCUCCUAUGGGGGGGUGCAUGUGGUAACACAUGGAGAGGGGACUUGAGCUUGCAAAGCCACCAGACAUCAACCAAAAGUGAUACGUGAAAAUGUGCUGACUGUAUUUGUUAUAAAAGUGUGAACAGCAAUAAACUAUGUGUAUAUAUCAUUAAGAGGCUCUGGAGUAAGAAAUAUGUGGUAAAACUGUGAGCAGUUUUAAACCAUGUGUAUAAAUGUUGAAAAGCCAUGAGGUAGGAAGGUUUUCAAGAGGACAGUGGAAUUGUCGAGGGGAGGCGUCCUGAAGAGGCUGCAGGGGGCUGGAGUGAGACACACCCAAGGUUGAAGCCUGUUCCCACCACCUCCCCCUGGUUCUGCCCGGGCUUCAUUGUCCUCAUCUGUGAACUUGAGAAUCAGAGAUUUUCCUUUUCCAUCUGGAAGUGCAAAUGGAAUGGCGAGAGAUGAGAAAACUGAGGCUGGGAAGGAGGAAGGGACCAGGAAAAGACAUCUAUCACUAGUUUUGUCAGACCUGAAGCUAGGGCCCCUAUUUCCCAACUCCUAAGCCCAGAGCUACUUCCCCCUCCCUGAAGCUGGCCUCCAACAAAGACAUUGGGAAGGAGGACUCCUGAGGGCAGGAUCGGUGUGCAGUAGCUGCAGUCUAUCCUCUCUCUCCUGCCGCCUCCAUCAGUUCCUUCGUGACAGCGGCCCAGCCUUUUCUCCAGAUAAACCCACUUAGGGAGUUAAUUGAUAACUAAGGUUCUCCCAUAUUAUAAUUUAAAGUGUGUCCACUCCCCUUUAAGUUAUAUUUACAUUUCAAUGGCAGGUGUUUAAAGACCUAAGAGCCUGCAAGAUUCAAAGGAUUGUUUUCCUAAGAAAGUGCAAUCUCAGGUUGGCUGCUUUGAGCUGGGACCCCUGGCUGGCAAACCCUGAAUAGACUUGAUGUUUUUCUUCCACCUGAUCUACUUACCUUUCAUCUGUUAGCCUCUAUUCUUGGCAACCUUGACAUUCAUCCAUUCACCCAAUAUUCACUAACACCUACUAAGCACCAAAUACUGCUCAGGCAAGGUCCCCGGCCUACAGACUAGCUGUAAAUUUGGAGUUGUAAGGACUAGGGCAGAAGAAAGAACUGAGUAUCAUGGGAACACAUAGCCCAGACUGUGAAGGGAAGAUGUCACUGAAAACUUGCCUUAAAGAGAUUGUCCGAAUCUUGAGAGACAAGAGUUAACCAAAUAAAAGUGGGUGGGCAGGAGGGAGACAGGGCAUCCCUUGGGGACAGGCCCGAGGCCGCAGUCCCAGGCACAGGUGAAUGGAUCCCAGCGGAAGGUGGGGAGAGCUGCCUCUAGACGAACCCCUGGAAGGGAAGCAGGGGCCCCCUGUGUGCCUUCGAUUCUAUCAGAAAGAUGCUGGGCUGCCCCUUCCUGGAGAUCACGCCACCAUGAGGUUGGUUGCCUUGGAUGUCCUCAGUGCAGAGCUUUACUCCUAGUAUGGGAGGCAGAAAACCCUACACUCCCACUGCCAGGUGGCCCCAGGUGCAUCAUAGGUCACAAACUGGGGGCCUAUGCAGAUACGUACUUAUGUUUAACACUUUUUAAAAAUGAGUUGCGGUCAUUAGAAUUUAGCGAGAUGUCAAAUAAAAGUCUAUAUUUUAGGUUACUUGAAAAAUCACAAUAUCAGAUAUCUCUGGUCUCCUCGGAUGACAAUGGACUUGAGGUAAGGAGGGAGCCCUUUUGAGACAAGGCUUGAGCUUGCCUUCCAAGUUCACCACAGCCUCUGUCCAGCUAUCCUCAUUCAUUGACUGACUGGCCCCAUCCUUGCUCCUCUGGUGCCCAAAAACCUUUAAAUGGCCUCUCCUUGCUGGUGCUGGUAAAUAAAGUUAGUCCUUGCCAACCUGCCCAGCUAUAACUUCCUCUUAUCUGAUGUGCUCUGGGCAGCCUGUCAGGUUUAUGGAACAAGGGUUGAAUUGAGGCCCAGCCUUGUUCAUAGGAGUCAGGGUGGAGAGUGAUAGAGCCGGGCUUCAGCUGGGAAUAAAGUGACUUGGAGCCGGUGGGGGCCCAGAGAGCCAUGUUCCUCUCAAAGAAGGGGAGAGGAUGGCUGCACCCCUGGGACAUAUAUACUCGACUGUGUUAUGUUGUUAUCCAGGGGGUCCUCUUAGGCUGAGCUCAAAUGUUUUUCUUGCCAGUUCUGCAAAGAACUGGUGCAUAGAGAAAGCCAGAACUCAUCAGGCUUGCCCUUGUCAGCUCCCCAUUGCUCUCUCUUCUGGCAAGGGAGAGUACGUGAGCGUGAUUCCACAGGUGGGCAGAAUGGAGGUAAAAUUAUUAUUGGAAAAUCCCUUUCCCAGACCACUUUAUGUGUGAAUGAGAACGUAACCCAUUUUGGUACUAAUCCACAAGCAGACCAUGGAGUCCAAAGGUCAAAGCUGCCCCGUGUCCAACGAGAUCUGAUCUGGCAAAGAUACUGUACACUCACCAAGAAUGAGAGCUCAGACAUGAGUUUGUUCAUUCAUUCAGCAGAUACUUACAGUGCCUACUAUGGGCUACAUAUGGCACUAGGAGGAGCUUUUGGACUGUGAGAAUCUUUAAACAAAGAACUGAAAUCAUCCUUCUACGGGAGAGGCCACAGGCUGCUUGGAUGCUGUUAACUGCAGCCGCUCUUGGACGCACGAGGAACUAUUACUCUAACAAUGAUUUCAGUUUUCAGAAUGUCAGAGUGUCUUUAUUUAUCUCAGGAUCGUUCAGAGCCCUUGAAGAGAUGAGGUUAACUUCAACUGAAAACCACAAUUCUCAUUUAUUGAGUAUUUAAAUGUGCAAAGCACUAACUAAGAAGUUUAUGGAUUUUGUUUAAUCCUCAUAAUGACACAUGGAGAUGGGUUCUAUUCUUAAUUCCAUUUUACAAAUGGGGAAGUAGAGGCCUGGCUGGUGAAGCAACUCGCCCCCCGUUGCCCACCCAGGAUGGAGGCGGCGGAGCUGAGGUCAGGCUCUGAGAAGCCUGAGCUGCCAGCCUCUUUGCAGCACUGCCUCGGAACGCUUGGAACUAAAACUUCAUCAGGCAGGAGUCCGAUCCAAGUAAGAGCAGAUUAUUACUUACCCCACUCCCACCCCAAGUGACCUUUCAGUUCAACUAAUUGAGAAUAAUGAUCAUAAUUGUGCUAAUUUGCCCUCCAGUGAUUGCCAGGAUAAUGGAGAUGAUUUAGAAUCAAAAGCCGAAAAAAGGAACAGGUCAUUUAAUCUAACGCCUAAUUUCUGAGACAGGAAAAUUGAAGGGCUUGUCCAAACUCACACAGCUAGUUAGGAAGAGAAAUUUUGACCACACCCCAUAUAUUCUCCCUCCCAGCCCAGAACUCUUUCUACUGCACCAUGCUUUGCUGGGCUAGGGGUGCUGCUACCAGCCUGGAAGCCAGGAGUUCGCACCAUCUUUCCUUAACACAGGCUGCCAUAGGAGCAGAUGUCAGACUCACAGGAGUGGGAUUCCUCUUUCUGGGGCUUGUUUGUUGCAGCACCAAGGACUCCCCCACCCAAAACGCCUUAUCAGGAGCCAGGACGGGCUCUUAAUCUGCAGCUCACAAGGCCUUGUCUACACUCUCAGGGGAGGUGCGUUAUCAUCCAGAAACAGCUGACGGACCACAGCUCUCCCAGGCUGGCACUGUUUACCAAGUGGGGAAGCUGGAAGCAGAACAGACCAAUCAAUGCCCAGUCUCUGGACAUAUGAAGGCCACCAACUGCAACUCCUUAAGCAGUUCCUGUCCACAGCCCUUGUCCCCCAGCUGUAGAAGGGGCACUCUCUACCCCAACUGAAAUUGCUCAGAUCUAAAAUAAAUAACACACUAUUUGAUCACAGAACCCUCUCAUGCAAAUUGAGGGACAAUUAGUCCACUGGGAGCCGAGAGCAGCACCAAGCUAAAUCUGCCUUUCUGUGGUUUCCCCAGCUUUCAAAUGACCUUCCCUGAAUUUUAGGUUUUCUACUAAACAAUGAAAUACCAUUCAUGUUUGGGGCCUAUUGGGAAACAAGAUAGAUGCUGACUUUGUACAGAAGAAGAGAAGAGCAUGCCAGAAUGGGCAAAAAUUCAACCCUAACAGCCAAAAAAGUGGGUUCUUAACAAAGGACACUUGUGUUAGAAGCUACAAGUGAAAAUGGGAUCGUUCCUUUGACACCAAGUGGGUCCCCAUAACCAAUUCUAUUUACGAUGCAGAUGAACUAGCUUCCCGCAUCCCUAUCUCCCAGCUCCCUUCUCCUCCCAGUGUACCACACACAGCUUCCCUGGCCCACCUCCCACCUAGUACACCUGGGUCAAACUGCAUGUUUGUUGAUGAGGGUCAUGGAAAAAUGAAAUGAAGUGGGAGGACAGUGCCACUGCUCAUGAGUCAAUUUGUUUAAAAUUUGGUUUAAAUACAGCUCACUAGGGCCAAGAAAAAAAAACUAGCCCAGGUCAAAACUGUACCUGUGACCUCAGUGGGAACUGCUGAGCCAUCAAGUGGGGUGGUGGUUGGGAAAUCUGUCAAAACCUCAUGGAAAGAACCCAGGAGUCAGGGAUAAUAAAGACUGUUCUCAUUUCCUUACAUAGAUCCUAUUAACAUAGCCAAAGGGAGUUAUAAAUUGGUAACAAAUCUUUGGCUCACAGUGUUUGCUGUCAGAAGUAGCUGCUCUUAGCUGACUGUCAUUGCCCUUCACUGUUGGGCUGAAGUGUGUAGAUCCUGGGGCCCAACUGCUCGUCUAAUAAGACAAGAGAGCCUGUACCAGGAAUUUCAAACAAUCCUGCCCCGACUUGGGAAGGGGUUCAGUGCCCUCUGCUGACAACCCUAGUCUGUGAGAGGCAGGCUGUGUGUCUUAAUCGUUAUAAGCAUUUUCAAGUGCCUAGCACUUCCUGACAACGCGUGCUUGCUGAAUGAAUGGAUGAGUGAGUGCAACUGAGGCCUAGCAGGGGUAAGAUGCGUAAAGUGCAACCUGGCUGGACUAAGGAAAGUUCAGUCUGGAAUAACCCUGCCCCGCCCAGCAUUUUCACAGGGAAACAUUAGAAUACACAUUAAAGGGAGGACAGCAACUUCCCAGGGAAGAGGGAAGGUUGGAAAUGGCCCCACUACACAACUAGAUUUUUCUUUUAUACCAGCCACAUGCUAUGGAUCUUCUGAGUGCAACUGAAGAGAAAUGCUGUAAGAAACAAAGAAAGGAUUCGGAUCUGAGAGACAUGCAAAUUAGAAUGUGGGAAACUUCUCUACAUAAGACUUCAUCCACUACAUUUUUAUUAAAGAAACAAAAAAGUAUACAUUUGUCCAUAAAGCUGUACAUUCUUCUACAUAAAUACACUAUUACACAA